CCCUAAAAAUACUUUAAACCCUCCACUAUUAUUAAGUAAUUUUAUAAAUAUAUAAAAGUAUUCAUGCUAGAACUAGUAACAAGAAAUUGAAUUUCUCUUAAAUAUAAGCAUAAGCCAAAAUGGACUAACCAUUGACAAUUAACGUUUUUUAGCCAACUAUAGCAACAUCCCAAGAAAACCCUAUAACCACCUACGUUAACCUUACACAAGUAUAUUUCAAGAAAGAUUAAAAGAAAGGGAAGGAACUCGGCAAAUUUUAACCUCGCCUGUUUACCAAAAACAUCGCCUCUUGAUCAAACAUAAGAGGUCCAGCCUGCCCAGUGACUCACUUAAACGGCCGCGGUACCAUAACCGUGCAAAGGUAGCAUAAUCAUUUGUUCUUUAAAUAGGGACUCGUAUCAACGGCAUCACGAAGGUUAUACUGUCUCCCCCUUCUAAUCAGUGAAACUGACCUCCCCGUGAAGAGGCGGGGUUAUACUACAAGACGAGAAGACCCCAUGGAGCUUUGGGCCCAAUAAUAAUUUUUCCUAAAUAAUCUACAAAAUUACAAAAAUCCUAUAUCUAUUGGUUUUAGGUUGGGGCGACCGCGGAGUAAAACAAAACCUCCUUGACGAACAGGUUUCAUCCUAAUCCAAGAGCUACUGCUCUAAGAAUCAAAAAUUUGACGUAACAUGAUCCGGUAACCGAUCAACGAACCAAGUUACCCUGGGAUAACAGCGCAAUCUAUUUNAAGAGCUCCUAUCGACAAAUGGGUUUACGACCUCGAUGUUGGA
rnacentral:rRNA from 1 species